GUCUAAGAAAUAUAUUUAAGAGUAUUCUUGUAUAUAUAUUUAUAAAUUAAUAAUUCUAAAAAUAAAAUAAAGCUUCCUCGAAAAUAAAAUUUUAGUAGCAUAGUAAUUUAUUAACUAAUUAUUAAAGUGUUCCACAGAAAUUUUUUAAAUUAAAACAAAAAAAAUAAUUUAUGAAUUAAAAUAAAAAUUUUAAUAAAAAUUAAAUAAUUAAAAUAGGGCAAGUCCUACUCUCCUUUACAAAGAGAACGUUUCAAUAAUACGUAUAAAAUCGUUGUAAA
rnacentral:rRNA from 1 species